rnacentral:miRNA from 1 species
UAGGUCUGGACUAAUGCAA